rnacentral:lncRNA from 1 species
CCCUUCCACCACGCAGAAGCUUUACUUUCGCUUUCACUUUACUUUUGCUUUCACUUUAACAAAUCUUGCAGCCGCACACUCUUUGGGUCCGCCCGUUUCUCUAAUCAAGUUGUAACACUCGCUGCUGUGGUCCACAGCUUCAUUCCUUGAAGCCCGUGAGACACGAACGCUUCCAUUGAGAAAAACCUUCCAUCAGAAGAAGACUUCUCGUCUCAGUGGGACUGCUGAGUUGAAUGAAAAUGAACAGGACUAUUCUUCCUCAAACAAAGAGAUCGUGUGAUGAAGACUCACCAGAGCUGUUCUCUAUAAGCUUGAAGAGCAAUGGUAUCAGUGAAUUGCCUUUUCAUUUAUUAUCUUGUUUCUCAAGUGGGAUAUAAGUGUCAUGGGGAGGAUCUGAAAAUGGACUCCAUAGAAAGAGACUCUGAGAUGAAAGGUGCUUUUUUUUCUGAAGCUUUGGUAGUGUAACUGUAAGAGUCCUGGAAUUGGAAAAGCAAAUCCAGAAGUUGAGUUCCAUGACUUUUUUGCUGUUUGCCUUUGGACUUGCAUCAUUUAUAUUUUUAAUUCAUCGAGGAUGAGAAAAUUGAUUAACACAAAAUCUUUUCAUGUCUUUUCUGAUGAGAGACUAGCUGAAUCCAAGAAGAGAAGCCCUUGAAGAGUGUAUUCUAUUCUAGACAAGCAUUCACACAUUGGCUUCUUUGGUGCCAGCAUGUUUCUGAUCAGCAUGAAAACUGCGCAGGAGCUUUUCUGUCUUGCAGAGCUAGUUAAUGAGAUUGUUGCUGCCUUCAGAUUCUAUAAAGGACUUCUCCAAUAUUGGAUUAAAGAAUGAAGAAAGGAUCAAAUUGAGACAUCCAGGGGGGAAGAGUUCCCUGGCAAAACUCCAAUCUGCCUGAGCACUGAGGUGGAGCCACAGAAGUCCGGGUCAUUUGCACCUGGGAGGAGCCUGGCCCCUCCUCUUCCUGUGUGGAAUCUGGGAUUUAAUCUGUGAGGAGGGAAGGCCAAGGGCAGGAAGCACAGGCUCUCACUUCACUAAGAGUCUCUGUUUCCCCUUUUUUUCCUUUAUGCCUAAUUAAUAAAUCCCAUUUUUCUCACUCUUCAAAUAGUCUUCAAGCCUAAAUUUUCAUGACCAUGGAACAAGGACCCCAUCUUUAGCUGAACUAAGGAAAAGUCCUGCAACAAAAUUCUUUGCUAAAAAUACAUGAGGUUGCCUUUUCCUUCUUAAUCUUAAAAGAAAUAUAUUUCAAUGGUUAACGUUUUAGUAAUUCAAAAAUUAUCAAGCAUUUGUUCACAACCAUAAGAUGUGCAUUGUUUUAUAUUCCUACUUAAUAAUAGACUAUAAUUGUCUAAUUAG